AUAAAGUUUAAUUUUAGCUUAAAAAUUUAUUUAAUUUUUUAUUUACAUGUAAAUUUUAGUGGGUUUUUAAGAUUAUUUUAAAUAAAUAAUUUUAAUUUUUUAUUCGCAGUAUAAAGUUUUAUUAAUUUAAGAAAUUAAGAAUUAUAAAAAAAUUGUAUUAUUGACAAAAUUUGUGCCAGCAGUUGCGGUUAUACAAAAAAUAUGAAUAAAUUUUAUUGAUUAGUAAUAAAAAAAAAAUUAAAUUUAAUAAAAAUUAAAUUUAUAAGGUGAAAUUUAAAAUUUAAAAUAAUUAUGAUUAAAUUUUUUGAUUUUAUUAAAUUUAAAAAUUAAACUAGGAUUAGAUACCCUAUUAUUUUAAUUGUAAAAAUAUUCAUUAAAGUAGUAUUAGCUAUGAUCUUGAAAUUUAAAGAUUUUGGCGGUAUUUUAGUCUAUUCAGAGGAACCUGUCCUAUAAUUGAUAAUCCACGAUAAAUUAUACUUAAUUUAUUAAUUUGUAUAUCGUCGUUAUUAAGUAUUUUAUAAGAAUUAAAUAUUUAAGUUUUCAUAUAAGAAAAUAUAUCAGAUCAAGGUGCAGUUUAUAAUUAAGAAGAGAUGGGUUACAAUAAAUUUAUUUAUAUGGUUUUAUAUAUGAAAAUUUAUAAAUAAAGUGGAUUUGAUAGUAAUAAUAUUUAUAUUAAUUUUAUGGUUAAAGCUCUAAAAUGUGUACAUAUCGCCCGUCGCUCUUAUUAUAAGAUAAGAUAAGUCGUAACAAAGUAGAUGUACUGGAAAGUGUAUCUGGAAUGU
rnacentral:ncRNA from 1 species